rnacentral:rRNA from 1 species
UCGAGCGGACAGACAGGAGCUUGCUCCCUGAUGUUAGCGGCGGACGGGUGAGUAACACGUGGGUAACCUGCCUGUAAGACUGGGAUAACUCCGGGAAACCGGGGCUAACACCGGAUACUUGUUUGAACCGCAUGGUUCAAACAUAAAAGGUGGCUUCGGCUACCACUUACAGAUGGACCCGCGGCGCAUUAGCUAGUUGGUGAGGUAAUGGCUCACCAAGGCAACGAUGCGUAGCCGACCUGAGAGGGUGAUCGGCCACACUGGGACUGAGACACGGCCCAGACUCCUACGGGAGGCAGCAGUAGGGAAUCUUCCGCAAUGGACGAAAGUCUGACGGAGCAACGCCGCGUGAGUGAUGAAGGUUUUCGGAUCGUAAAGCUCUGUUGUUAGGGAAGAACAAGUGCCGUUCAAAUAGGGCGGCACCUUGACGGUACCUAACCAGAAAGCCACGGCUAACUACGUGCCAGCAGCCGCGGUAAUACGUAGGUGGCAAGCGUUGUCCGGAAUUAUUGGGCGUAAAGGGCUCGCAGGCGGUUUCUUAAGUCUGAUGUGAAAGCCCCCGGCUCAACCGGGGAGGGUCAUUGGAAACUGGGGAACUUGAGUGCAGAAGAGGAGAGUGGAAUUCCACGUGUAGCGGUGAAAUGCGUAGAGAUGUGGAGGAACACCAGUGGCGAAGGCGACUCUCUGGUCUGUAACUGACGCUGAGGAGCGAAAGCGUGGGGAGCGAACAGGAUUAGAUACCCUGGUAGUCCACGCCGUAAACGAUGAGUGCUAAGUGUUAGGGGGUUUCCGCCCCUUAGUGCUGCAGCUAACGCAUUAAGCACUCCGCCUGGGGAGUACGGUCGCAAGACUGAAACUCAAAGGAUUUGACGGGGGCCCGCACAAGCGGUGGAACAUGUGGUUUAAUUCGAAGCAACGCGAAGAACCUUACCAGGUCUUGACAUCCUCUGACACCCCUAGAGAUAGGGCUUCCCCUUCGGGGGCAGAGUGACAGGUGGUGCAUGGUUGUCGUCAGCUCGUGUCGUGAGAUGUUGGGUUAAGUCCCGCAACGAGCGCAACCCUUGAUCUUAGUUGCCAGCAUUCAGUUGGCCACUCUAAGGUGAUUGCCGGUGACAACCCGGAGGAAGGUGGGGAUGACGUCAAAUCAUCGUGCUCCUUAUGACCUGGGCCACACAC